GUCCCUGUAGCGCAAUGAAUAGCGAAUUGGACUUCUAAUCCAAAGGUCAUGGGUUUGAAUCCCACUUGGGAUG
rnacentral:tRNA from 1 species